ACGGCUCAGUAACACGUGGACAACCUACCCUGAGGUCGGGGAUAAACCCGGGAAACUGGGUAUAAUACCCGAUAGAUCUAGGAUGCUGGAAUGCUUUUAGAUCUAAAGUUCCGACGCCUCAGGAUGGGUCUGCGGCCUAUCAGGGCAGUAGUAGGUGUAACGUACCUACUAGCCUACGACGGGUACGGGUUGUGAGAGCAAGAGCCCGGAGAUGGAUUCUGAGACACGAAUCCAGGCCCUACGGGGUGCAGCAGGCGCGAAACCUUUACAAUGCUGGCAACAGCGAUAAGGGGACCUCGAGUGCCACGAUACAAUCGUGGCUGUCUAGUUGCCUAAAAAGCAAUUGAUAGCAAGGGCCGGGCAAGACCGGUGCCAGCCGCCGCGGUAACACCGGCGGCUCGAGUGGUAACCGCUAUUAUUUGGUCUAAAGGGUCUGUAGCCGGCUUAGUCAGUCUUUUGAGAAAUCUGGCCGCUCAACGGUCAGGCGUUCAGGGGAUACUGCUAAAGCUCGAGACCGGGAGAGGUGAGAGGUACUUCAGGGGUAGGGGUGAAAUCUUGUAAUCCUUGAAGGACCACCAGUGGCGAAGGCGUCUCACCAGAACGGAUCUGACGGCAAGGGACGAAAGCUAGGGGCACGAACCGGAUUAGAUACCCGGGUAGUCCUAGCCGUAAACGAUACUCGCUAGGUGUCGGCCACGGUGCGACCGUGGUCGGUGCCGUAGGGAAGCCGUGAAGCGAGCCACCUGGGAAGUACGGCCGCAAGGCUGAAACUUAAAGGAAUUGGCGGGGGAGCAC
rnacentral:rRNA from 1 species